rnacentral:rRNA from 1 species
GAUGAACGCUAGCGGCAGGCCUAAUACAUGCAAGCCGGACGGCAAGUUGAGUAGCAAUACUUGACCUAGAGUGGCGUAAGGGUGCGUAACACGUAUGCAAUCUGCCCACAGCCGGGAGAUAGCCCUCCGAAAGGAGGAUUAAUAUCCCAUAGGAAGAUGAGAUGGCAUCAUUUUAUUUUUAAACUACGGGGCUGUGGAUGAGCAUGCGGUUGAUUAGCUAGUUGGCGGGGUAAAGGCCCACCAAGGCGAUGAUCAAUAGGGGACCUGAGAGGGUGAUCCCCACACUGGCACUGAGAUACGGGCCAGACUCCUACGGAGGCAGCAGUAGGGAAUAUUGGACAAUGGGUGUAAGCCUGAUCCAGCCAUGCCGCGUGCAGGAAGAAGGCCUU